rnacentral:rRNA from 1 species
AACGAACGUUAGCGGCGCGCCUAACACAUGCAAGUCGAGCGAGAAAGGGCUUCGGCCCCGGUACAGCGGCGCACGGGUGAGUAACACGUAGGUAAUCUUCCCUCGAGCGGGGGAUAACCU